CAGUGUUUUAAAAAAUGGGAAUAUCAUAAUACUAUACAGAUUUUUCUCUUCCUUAUAUCGGCACAGGACGUCUGUCACUUCAGCAGUAUACAAACUAUUUAUAUCCAGAUAUUUCAGAAUGAAUUUUUGCUUUUAAAAUCACAGGCACAUUUUAGGCGCCCGACAUUAUUUUUGGAUAACAAACUCCUUCCUGCUCGUGCGUGGAUUCAUGGUCAAUUGUACUCUGUCAUCUUUGAACUUACUCUAAGAACCGUUAGCACUAGCCUUCUGUAGAGAACAGGGGUCACUUCCUCUCAUGAAGGAAAACAUCCACAUCCCAACUGAUCCUACUUAUUGAAGUUACAAACGACUCUCUGCUAAGCAAAAGCUGCAUUUUUAGAAGUAAACAUUACUCAACUUUUUUGAAGCCAACUAAAUAGAACUCUUGUCACUGUUAAACUGGCUCAACAGUUCUCACCUCAAUUCUUAAAAAUUAAAGUUUGAAGACAGAGACUUGAUACAAAUGUCAAGAAAUUAUCCUUCUCUAACUGUGACUGUUUAUGUGCUAACUUUAUUGUUGCAUAUGUCAAGAUACUUUCAUUUUGUAAGAUUCCAACAACGGAAGCUAGAAUGGGCUCUCCGUGGACACCCAAGUGAAAAAAGAAGUCCAAGAACAGGGAGAGUGGGACGACCUGAGAUCCUUGGAGGGGAGGCUCAGUCAGUCACUGGGCUCGAUAAAACCUGGCACCUCUGUUCUGCAGAUGGUUGGAGAAUAGAGAUGCAACCAAGACAGCAGGACCUCCGGUGACAGCCUGGGACCUAAACCAGAAGAGUCAUCUGUCUUGCUCUAGGGGUCGACAGAAAAGUGCAGGAACAUGAAAGCUUUCUGUGGAAAGAUAAUGAAUGAGUUAAGACAGAGUUUCUUCGGAGAGGAAAUGAAAAUAGUGAUAACACCCAGAGCUAACCUCCAAGUACACCUGGGGCAGAAGUUCGAAGGUAGAACUGUGUUACAGAGCUAAGAGGAUACAUGUAAAGUGACACAUGGCUCUGGAGGAACAGCCAGCCUGUCCAAGCGUGGUUUGCGCCCACUGCCCGGAAGAGUGUAAGAGCUGACAGCUCUUUAUUACCUUCUGGUCACUUCAGUCAGCUUCUUUCUACAGUUCUGCCCUCUUCCAUAUCACUAUUUCUUCCAUGUAUUGUACACCCUUACUUCCUUGUGCACAUCACAGUAAGACUCAAUAAAUUACUUACACAACUGUCUGUCCUACUAUGAGCUCCUUGGUAGCAGAGAACAAGUCCUUAUUUAAAUAUAUUCAACUUAAUAAACAAAGCUUACUUCAAUUUUUAAAUCUUUCAUCACCAACAUCAUCACCAUCAAUGUCAGCCGCCACUAACUUUAUUUAAACUUCACUUGAGGAACAAUAGCUAUGAUAAUGGACAUACAGAUCUAAGAGUAUAACCUUUAUUACAAAUCCCAGUUUAUCCCCUAAUGAGAUUUUUUUUUUUAUUUCAUAAGCUAAAUAUCAACAAGUAGUUCCUUCACAACAUAGAGGCUAAGGAUUUAUUUCCCAAAGGCAGAAUUUCCAAAGACAAAAUGACUUUUAUGAAUUUCUGUGGAUGGCUUGCAAAUUUCUUCUGAGUUUACUCUUAAGAGAGUGACUUGCACACACUCAAUGAAGUACAGUGCUCUAAAAACCAAAAUAAAGACGGCAAAAAAAAUCAGCCUGCUUCAUUUUAAGGUCACAAUGAAUAUUAUUAUUUAUAUCAAACUGAGCUAAUACAUAGUGUAAACAGGUACUGUUUACCAAGAUCUCUCCACUCCUCUGGAUAACACGUACAACUGAAAAUGCAUGAUUUGAACAAAAUAGCUGGAAAUACACUCAAAAGUGAUUACCUCCAAAAUAGGAAAAUAAAUGUGCUCAUUUUAUGUUGUAAAAAUAUGGUGAAUUGGAGGAGAGAAAUUAGACCCAUCUCUUCCUAUACCGGUCAUCUUUUCCAUCAUGAAAAAUACACUUCAGCAUUUUGUACCUCAGUGACUGAUGAGCUUGCUUGAAUGAAUCCUUACCAACAGGUAAAAUAUCAUUUCGAUUACUUUGUGCCAUUUCAAAACCGAGGUGACUCACUCAGUAAUGAGAUAGAGUAAAAAGCAGUUGUUUUUAGUGGGUUUUUCCUGGGCUGGGAAUCAUUUUAAUUUACUUGUCCCAGAUGCCACAUUUCAUCUAGUUGGUAUUCCCUCCGUUCCUGGGUCUGUUCUCCCCUUACUCAAUAAAUAUGGAAAUCUAUUUCUCGUCCAGUUUGAACAUUGUAAUUUUUAUAGCAGUUUUACUCUUUCUGACAAGCAUAUUUCCACUCUCCUUUCGGUCCCGGAGAAUGUGAAGAAAUGCACUCUUUCCUGAAAAUGCUUUGCAUUUGUAAAACGUAUUUCAGGAUUCAAAUUUCCUACACGUGUUGUUUAAUUAGUAUUUACCACAAAGGCCUCACAAUGUUCUCCCACGCAAGGAAGCUAAGGCAGAGAUUCAGAGUAUGGAGUGACUGGGCCUGGUCCGGCUGGGGCCAAGUCCAAUUUCAAGGGUCUCAUUUCUGAGGAGCAUCAAACCCUGUCUCAGAAUCAUCAAGGUUCCAGUCCUGCACACAGAUUAGAUUAUAACCAUUUGCUUUUCUUUAAGUCCUUUCUGGAAAAAGACAGGUUAUUACAAAGAAGCAAAUAAGUAGCCAAGUAAUUUAAUAAUGAAGGAAAAAACAAAUUAGGUCAAUGCCCCUUUCCUCUGACUUUAAUCCACUUCUUGGUGUCCUUGAAUACUGGACAGUCUCGUUUUCCUGUACCUUGAUAUUUUGGAUACUUCUUGUAUUGAACUAUAUCACUGAGCCCUACUUGAGAAAAACACGAUAUGAAAAAUACUUAUUUUUAUAAGCAGAUUACAGUUACACUUAUCCCCAUUAGAAAACUAUUCUUUGUUUAAUAAAAACAACCACAAUGAAAUAGUCAUACCAAGUUCUUUUGAAAAGACCCUGACAGUUGAGUUUCAGUUGAUGAGGUGUUUGGGUUUGCUGCAAUUAGCUGAAGGCUUAGCCAGUUAGGCAGUGACUGUCCCUAUGGUCCCCUCCUUGAGCCUCCUCAACAGAGACCUGACUCUAGAGUGGUCUUUCAGACUCGCAUAGCUGUGGUGGCGAAUUCCUGCCGAAGUAUUUUUAGAAACGCACCGCUAUAUGAAACACACAUCUUCAGUCCAGUAACCAGACCAGACAGACUGACCCCUCUGUCAGCACCCUCUGAAAGAAGCCUUAUAAAAAUACAAAGGUAAGACUAUCUCCAAUGCAAAAUAAGCCUGAAGGAGACACAGCCUUCACCCCCAAACGUUCACAGUAGAUAGCUGAGAGCUGCAGGAAUCCAUGAGAAAAGGUAGGUCUUUAUAAGCAGACUUGAUGAGAAUUAUAACAAGUAGAUGGCUGCUUUGAAAGUUAUUGUCGAGAUGUGAGCAGCUCAGAGAGUAGAAACAAGCAAGACUAAAGCCAGGAUAGAGACCAGUGGAUUAAGACAUGAAUCAAUAGUUUGGUUGAACAACCUUUGGACCAAAUUUAAGUAUGUUUUUGCCUGGGGACUAGGACUUUGAUGAAGUCUUCCACUUCUGAAGACUUCUGCUAGGCCUCAAGGCUCCAGAGCCACAGAUCCCCAUGCCAUCCAACUGGAACAACUAUAUUCACCAGCCUGCCAAGCACUGAAGGACAUCAGGGUCGAUGAAUUACUUAUUCCCCUGUUCCGCUCAAGAAUUGUGUUUGCAGAUCAUUAUUUGGCAAGAUCUUACAGAGCAUGUAGAGUAUUUUAAAACUAAAGGUUUGGAGUCACAGCCAACAGAUAAUCAAACUAAUAGUUUACUAGUAACUUCUUACUUUUGACCCUGCAUAAAGUAUAUAUUUAAAAUACACAAAUUAUUUAUAACAGUAUUAUAAAUUUGGAAAUCACUUAUUCUUAGGUCAUUAGUAUUAUAUAAAUGCUCAGACUUUAAUAUCAGAUAUAUUUUGGUCAUAAUAUCAGAUAAUCAAUGGUGAACAUAUACAAAAUAAUUAAUUUAAUAUGAGGAAGAGAAUUAGACUUGACUCAAUAAAAAUAUAUGGUAAGAUUUGAAAAAUGUUUUAGUUAUUAAUCAGCAGCAGCCUAACAGGCGUAUCUGGUUCCCAAACAAUAAUUAGGAGCAUAUCAUCAAAAUUCACUGCCUACAAAGAUUCUAACUGAAUAGUCAGUUCAGAAAGUUGUCCUAUUUUGAACAUGAAAGGUGAAAGUUUGAACUUGAUCUCAAACAGCAGGAUAGUCUGAAUGCAAAAAAUUUGGUGAUUUUCCUAAAUUCUCUGCAUCCUUCCAGCAGAGUGCACUCCAAAAUCGCCAGUUACUAAUUCAUUUUAUUAAUUCAGUUCAAUCUGCUGCUUCCUGGAGCUACCAAAUGUUUUCUUUGGCAUCAUGUUUAUAAUCAAAAUGUUUGCUUUAAAAUUAAAAUAGUUUUGGUGACAUGUGUUUCCGAGAGCAGCUGAACCUUCUCAAUAAGUGAAACAGAACUAAAUUCAAAUUGGUAUAAAUUUCUGCAUCUCACUGGUAAUCAUUAGCAUAAAGGGAGAACAAAAUAUUCUUACUUUUGAGAAUCUAGAGUCAUGAUCGAAAAUAACUGAUUUAAAGACAAUACAAGUGGACAGUUCAUUAAACAUGAACCCGGUGAAGAAGUCAAUAAACCAAUGAAAGCUGAAUUCUCCGCUCUUUGGAACAUCAGUAAAUAAUUUCAGGAAGGGGUAAGAAAUUAAAGCACUAUGACCAGAAAUAGGAAGUGAAGUUCCCGCAUGUACAGAAAGUCAGAAGAGGAAAAAAACAAAGAAACUAAAAGAUAAAGUCAACAAAAUUUCCGAAAACUAAAAAACAGGAGUUGAAAGCGCUGUCGAGAGUAUUGUAGAAAUACUGUAGACCCUGAAGAGGAAAGAAAAAAUGAUGUGGAAUUGUGGGAUCUGUGACUAUCUAGGACAUAUUUUUAGACAAAUUAAAAAAUAAACAUGUUCAGAUUUGAUCACUUUAAGAAUGCAGGAAGAGGGGACACCUUUGAAAAAAAGAUUCAUGGGUUUCUACAGCAGGACUAUCUGUCUAUGGGGGGCAAAGAAAGGCAGAGCAAAUCACUGAAGGCUGGCGCAUCAUAGACAUAAUGGUGUGGUGAUAUAUUUUUUUAGAAAGAGGUAUGGGGAGCUAUCAAGUCAGAUUCACAGUGUGACUCUGGAGGAUUUCUAGAGAAAAUUAGAUGUAUUAACUUGAAUGAGUUUCUAUCACGUCAUGAGUGAAAGAAGAGAUAGCCAAGCCAUUUUGUAAGAUGCAUGUAGGAACUUACAUAGUAGACACAAGAGGGGCUGGAUUUGGUUAUUAAAAUUCAGAUUUAAAACUUAAAAUAAUGUGAAGGUAUUUGUCUUUGGAAUUCUGCAAGCACAGAAAUCAAGAUAAGAAGACCAAGGGAAAUUAAGAAUCUGGAUAUUUAGUUAAAGUACUAAAUUGUUUAUAAACAAUUUUAACACAAUUUCCUACCCUUUCAAAAUAUGUCAUGUCUUUACAAGAGGAAGAAUUUGAUCUGAAAAGAUCUACCAUAUACGGCGUAAAAGAGUAGGAAAUCCUUUGGAAAAAAAUGAAAAGAAUGUAUGUGUAUACUCAGUUCUUACAGAUAAUAGCUGAGAGGGUUAUAAAAUAAAGCUAAAUCAAAUUGAUUGGCAGCAAGGGAAAAGUGAUAUUAAAGAGAAAGUGAUAAGAGAGGAAACUCAUGUCUAUGGUGAUACACUCUAGAAAUAAUAAAGUAAUUAUAGUGAAGACACUAUGGGAAUACCCAGCAUGUACAAAGGAGAUGCUAGAGGCUACAUGAAUAUUAUUUAAAGUUCAUUGGAAAAAAUGAGCUGGAUGCUAUAGAAAAAUGCAAUUAGAUAUUGUCCUAUCUGCUGGAUUUAUAACUGAGCCAGAGUUUUUCAUUAUAAAUAUCUUUUAGACCAACCAAAUAGUAACAGAAUUUACUUGUUUAGAUAUAGCACUCAGUUCAGCUGGAGUGCUUAUUAGUGGAAUGCUAAUUCUACUAUGGUCUGUAUAAUUAACUUAAUUCUAAUUAUUUAGCAUUGUUACGUAGUAGGUAACUUGCCCGAAAUCAAUAUUGCCUCGACUCUCAGUAUAGCUGUAUAUAGAAAUUGAAAGUUAAAAACUUCUUUAAAAUUUGACAGUUAUAUAGUGAUAUGACAUCAGUAAUCAGAAGUACACACACACACACACACACACAUUGAAGAAGCCAAAACUCCACUGCAAAGGAAAUUUUUUUUGUGUCAUAGUAAAAAUUCAGGACACUGAGGAAAAUACUGAAAGAAUUCAAGAAAUUAAAUUCCAACCAGGCAAUUCAAUUGUGAAAUUUAAAAGUGCUUUCUUAUCUUAUUUGGGUGUGCCUUUAUCUGUCUUCCCACUAAUCUAUCUAGAUUCUUUAAACUAGAAGGAGAAUAUGGACUUGUAAUAGAAUUAUGAGAGCAAGCUUAGCACAACUGGUAAUUAUUGUAGUCCCUGCCACAAUAGCAAUCUCUAUCACAGUCUCCAGGCAGAAGUGAGUCAACUAAACAUCUGCAAGAAUUUAAAUCACUCUUUAUCUGCCUCAAUUCAUUCACCUCCCACGUGACAUAAAGUACUUGCCCAGGUUCCUUGUGUUUAGACUGAGUAUAUCAAGGUUACAGCCUUUCAGAUGUAGACUAUGAUGCUCACACAUCAAAGAAGCAGCAAGAGCUACCUGACAGUACCUGUCUUUGCUCUUUUAAUUCUAUACCAAUAGUUUUCUUGACUUAAAUAAUGCUAAAUAGUUGUGGUUCAAUUGCCCUUACUUCUACCUAAUGCGUACUUCCCACCUCCAUCUUGAAAAAUUGCACUCAGAAACAGGCAAAUAGCCAAUGAUGGGAAAAGUUACUCUACAACUCACUGCAGUCACUCAUCAGUUCUGAUGGGACCUGAAUCGACAGGACAGAACAAAAUUGCCACCACGAUACUUUGUGCCUUAUCAGUUAUGUGAGCAUAUAAGGAUGCAAAUAAGUUGCAAUUGUGAGUUUUAAUGACUUGAGUUUGAAGACAAAAAUAAGGACCUCUAGAGAUACAGGUCUGUUAGCAGAACAAAGCAAAGAAAAACUAAAAGGUACCAUUCUUCUGAGUAACUUUGGUCUGUUUUUCAUGAAAUUUUUAUCAUGUUCAAGAAGUAGGAAAGAGAUACAAGGUCAGUCAGAUGACAAAAUGAUACAGAUUGCAUUGUUAGUUGUAAACACAUACACACACAGAUCCCUAACUAAGAGACCAGGAAAAAUAAGUGAGAAAAUACUCAUAGCAGAAUUAUGUCUUAUGAAUAAGUGGGCUAUGGCAACUUUCCGUUUCUCAAUGAAAAUAUCUCUCCAUUGUCAAGAUGAACCCUGUCAAUGGUACAACUUAAAAUACUGAAAUAUUUUACUUAAAAAUGCAGACAUAUAAUAAAAUGAAACACCAAUAUUUUAAAAUAUACUUUAACCAUUUAAUAUGCAUAUGAUAGUACCAGGUGAAUAAAAAUUAUAGUGCUUUUCUUUUGUUUUAUAAGUAAAAAGACAAUAAAUGGGCAAUAACAUAAAUAUUAUGAAAUAGUCUUUCUUACUAGGAAUAAAUCAAUCAUUAACAUUAAGCAGUUUUGUGGCAAAAUGAAUGCACUAUAAAUUCAAGUCAAGUAAGGCCAUUUCUCGAUGUUCUUAAAUUGUCAGAAAAUGUGUCUCCGAUGAAUGAAAAGGGAUAUAUACAUGUCUAUAAUGAUACAUAGAUGUCUAUAAACACUGGCAAGGAAAAUUUCAUUUCCUUACAUUUAAGCCCAUAUUUCCAAAUGUUUAGCUUGAGGUUUCUGAGCUAAUUAUAUUUUGAUAAAACUGACCUUUGGUUUCAUCCUCUUUCAAAAAUCAAUGGUUUUGAUUCAUUUUAAAUAAACCAAAAUCAAACCAAUCUUCAAAAUAUUUUUAUACAAUUACACUUCUUCACAAAAAUAGUUGCGCUGCUAGUUACUAGGUAACAAAAAAUUAUUCUAUUAUUUCAAUAUUUUUUACAAAUAACAACUUGCAUGUUUAUUAUUUUCAGUGCCCUUUUUUUCAAUUUGGUUACUAUAUGUAUUUAUAAGUGAUAUUCAUUGAAAUGUUUUCUUUCUAAGAUCUAGUUCAAGAAAAUAGUGUGCCAUCAUGACUUGCCAACUCUGAAGUUCUUUACAUCCUGCUGCACUCUGCUCUCACCUGAAGCCUGGUCUAUUUCCAAAGACCUAUUAGCUAGGGGAUUUUAAUGAGUGACAUAAGGAAGCGGGGGCUUUCCGUCUCUACGGAAGUUCAGAAUCCAUGACGAUUAUGGAAAAGUACAACACAAUAUUUUUUUCAAUAGUGAAAGCCAGAAAAGAGAUAGAAUAAAAAGAAUGAAUAAAAUGUUCGGGUUUUCGGAUGUUAAAUGAUUGAAACAGUUUCUAUUUAAAUGCAAAUUUGACUUUUUAAAAGAUGGGACUACCAGUAACUGUACCCUAAAUGGUAAAAUGAAAAUCAAUUUGAAAUAUGGGAUGAAUAAAGUAUAUGUGGACUUUCUGGGAAUAAUUUUUUAUUAUGAAAACCCUGAUGCAUUUUCCUUUGCUCAAUCCAUCUUAGACUUUGGACAGCUAUGCCCAGGAUGAAAUGCAAACAUUUUUAAUUUGUUUAAGCACAAACAUGGUCAGCUCACUAGAAGCUUCCUUGUUCAUUCAAGUCAGAUCUCACAAAAUAAUGAUCAACAGAAUGAUGUAUAUAAAAUACAAGACCAAAAUAAGAGUUUAACUGAAGCAUUAUAAUGACCAAUAGUCACUAUGUGUUUUUUAUUAUGUUGGGGAAGUCACUUUUAAGAAAUGGAAAUCACUACAUUCUAUUGAUUCAAGAACAGAAUCUUCAGACAUAAGUCAGCAGAGUUGACACUUUCAAAUACAUAAAAUGUGACAUCUGCUCUUACAAAUGUACUAUACAGGCUGUAAAUCAUCAAAGAGAAAAACAGUUCAAUGUCAUUUCAGCCACUGUAAGCUAUGGUUUACAACUGAGAGAUAAAAAUAGUCAUACUGUCUCUGUGACAUCUAAACCACUUUUCUAUCGCAGUAGUCCAUGUUCUAAUUUAUCUUUGUGGUUGAAUAACACAUAAUCAAUUGUAAGCAACUAGUGUAGUUUGAUUCCAGUCAACUGCAAUUUUCUAUAGCUUUAUCUUUUGCCCCACUGAGGUGACUUUUAGUAAUGCCCACAACACACCAUCUCAAUCUUUGUGGUUGCUUAAGUAUAUCAAGCUUCUAGCCAUCAUUUUAAGGGCUAACAUAUGGCACUAAUCCAUACAUGAAAUAUAUUUUAAAUAAAGUAGAGACAUUUACACUUGUAAGCAUUAUAAUAACUAAAGACCUAUAUUCCACUAGAAAAAGAAGUUUUCAUUAGACUUAAAAUAAGACCAGAAAGAGCAUGGUCUUUGUGUAAGAUUCCUGGUUCCACCACUUAUGAACUAUGAAAAUUCAAGCAAAUUAUUUAACCUGUAUGGUAAUCAGAUAACUUAUCUGAAAAAUGGGAUAAAAAUUCCUAUCUUUUAAGGGUAGUUUUAAAGAUUAAGUGAGACAACGUAAAUACCUAAUACAGUGCUUGACUCUAGACAACAUUUUAAAUAGUGACUAUUAUUGUUAAUGUUAGGUUAUUUUUUAUUAUUAUCAUUGUUGGCAUAAUAAAAUAGAACUUUUUUUGGAGUAAGUAGAAAUAUUUGUUCACUUAUUCCAGCAUGGAAAUAAACCCAACAUAGUAGGCUACAGCUGGAAUAUGUGUGAUUAUGUUUUGCAAAUAAUGCUAAUAUUUAAAUAUUUUUGGAAAUUCAUUUUGUGUAAUCUUAAUGUGAAAAUAUCAUUAUCAACAUGGUUUUUAAAAAUUCUACAAUGAAAAUGAUUACAGCAAGUAUUAAAACUGAGGUCUCAUUUGUUUAAACAUAUUGAAUAGAGGUAAAAAGGUCAAGUAAUACUUUCUAUAAAUUAAUAACAAUUGCUGGCAAAUGGGAUCCUAGACAUGUUAAUGGGGAUUUUUAACAUAUUUUUUCCAUUUGUUAAAUAAUUACAUAUUAGCAUCAUAGAAAAGUUAGAAUUAUCACAAUAAAAUAUUUUCCAGUAGAAUUCGCUAUAUAAAUAGCCACUAGUCAUCAAAUUUCUACUCUUUUUUUUUUGCUUUAAUGAGCAUAAAACAAUGAGGUAAGGCCUGCUAAUCAAGUUGGUUUCUGGUAUGACAGAGACCUGUUCACUAACAACCUUCUUGGAAUUGAGACGCAGCGUCUUUUAUUUUUCUCCGUGGUUCUGCCAUGAAGCUCAAAGCCCAACCUCCCGGUACCCACAGCCCCUUGGCUGGUGUUGAAAGAGAACUGCUGCCCCGAGCAAAUUUAAAGCCAUUCUUCUAGAAGUUCUGAUGCAUUUUCUUUCUCAAAUCUCUUUAUUAAUAAAGCAGCACACUGCAGGGUCUGCACUCAUCAGACCAGUACAGGCACAGCCUUUGGCUACCCUCCAUGCCUCAGUCUGCCAAUUGUGCAUUGAGUCUUCGUCUAAGGCACUCCCUGUCAUGUGCUCGCUUACAGAGACAUUUUGCAUGGAUUCCAGAUCUUCUCAUGUUCGAAUGAACACAGCAACGCAUUUCACUUUCAUUUGUCAGAAGACAAAUGUUCUCUGAACAUUCAUGUUUUGGAUUCAUUGUCUCUGUGCUCCUUUUAUUUAGUAAAAGAAAGCAUUUUACAUUUAACAUCUAAGCCCCUGGUCUUUGCACACAUGUGAGGGAACAUACGCUGUGAGAUUCCUGAGAAAGAACAAAAGACAUGGUUUCCGAAAAGCUGUGAUGUUGCUCACUAACUCUCUAGGUCCCACCACUGGCUUUUAAAGUAAUCUUACGCCCUGAUGGAUUUACUUUCUCUUUUGGAAAUAACUGCUGUGCUACGGUGACAGAUGUUUUCAUUGGAAGAAGGAAGAUGGGGUGGGGGGAGAAUAAGUUGUAAUUAGGUAUAUGCUUAUAUCUUUUUGAUCUGAGUCCUGUAAUUCCAUCCUCAUUGUCUAGAUAAACUAGAUUGUAAGCUUACCAAGGACAGGUGUCACUUCCUUUCUGUACUUUACAUUUCUCCCAAAGGACCUACACUAUAUAUUUCACCCUCUAGUAACAUUCAUUAAAUAUUGACUUAAUGCCAACAAACCCUCCUUUAAACAUAAUAUUUAACUUUGGCCUUAUGUACAGUACCGGCCUUUAAUUCUUGAAAAUAAAUGUGAUCUCUUUGUGCACAAAUCUCCAGACCCCAAAAAAUAACUCUUGGAGAAAAGAAAAUUGCAGUUAAAUGCAGGUAUUUUAGUUGUGUCUUCUAAUGCUGAAGUUCCAGUUCCCCGAUGAAGCCUCCUUCCCAACUCUAGAAUGCACAGAUUUCUUUCUUUUCUUAACUUCCAUUGGGAAUAACGCUGAGUACAGAUAGGCAUGGACGUAGUACAUACUUACUGAUGGAUUGAAUCACGUUGGAUUCGGACAGCAAAAUCCUGGGCUACAAAGGUUCAGAGACGCUAGGAGUCCCUUAGCACACCAGCCUGAGCCCGACAGUAGGGCCUCUGCCAGCCCCUGGCAUUCUCCCAGUGCCCACAAAACAAACCACUACUUCUCAGAUGUCCUCAGAGCUGUCAGUAAUCGCCACUGCUCUGCUGGAAAGUAUGGAAUUGUCAUAAUUUUUUUUUCAAUUAUGCAACCUUUUUUAUUAUAUUGUCAUUUGACACAGUUCAAGGAAAUUCUUCUUUCUUGAAAAAUUAAUCUGCUGGGAAUAUGUCUAAAAUUGGUAGAAAGAAGAGAAAUGGCACUUAUAAACAGCAGUAGCUGAACUUUUCAGUAGAAGACAAUAUGUGUAACCUUGUACGCAGGGCAUGGCAGCUGUACACCGGUUCUCAGGGUUUAAGGACAGUACACUUAAAAGUGUAAACUGAGGACCUAUGUUCAGAGAAAACAUGAAGGGAUCUGAAAUGUUCAGUUGGGGAUAGAAAUCAAUGAACAGAAUUUAAAUAAUGAUAUCUGAUUAAUGUGCCUUGUUAACUACCAAACCACAGUUGCAGAAGGAAGGAAAUCUAUUGUUGAAUGAACAAUAGAACCUCCUCCAAUUCUUUCUGGAAGACUGUGGGGUAAUAUCAAAAAACAAAUAAGUAAAUAAAUAAAAGUAGCCUUGGUAUUUUGGGGGAAACUUGAUUAAUCAUUCUUUCCACGAAAUUAUAUCAUAUGCUGACGUUAUUUAAAUAUUUUCUGAAGAUAUUAAACUACAUAGGUUAUAAUCAUGCUGACGUAUGGGAUAAUUGAGUUUUGGGAAGUUUGUCUAAGAAGUGGAAGGUUCUCAGCUAUGGCACUGAUAACCUAAUUGAGGAAAAGAUUUCCUUCUUAAGAAGACCCUAGCUACUUUCAAAUUUGGCAUGACUAUGUUUCCAUGCACUUAUCUUUUACCUGCUUUAUUUCCAGUCCAUUUAAAUUUGAACUCAACGACUGUUUAAACUUUCAAAAUACAGAAAGUAUAUUACACAUUUUUUUCAUUUUUAUACAUUAAAAUUAUUUCUUUUUACUCUCAUCGGUUUCUUUCAACAAAUGAAAACAGCUUUAAUUGGAGUGAUUUCCAUUUUCCUCAGGUCAAUUGGUAAAGAAGCUGGUUAAACUAUCUGUGCUUUUGUUUGAAUGAGAGGACAAUGCUGUAGCCAGAUUUACAAGUUAUCUUAAUUACCCACAUUUUGAAACUAAUUUAGCGGUAGAAUGAAAUAUCUUAAAGAAAUUGUACAGGUUUAAAUUGCUGCCUGUGUGACAAGAUUAUUAGCAGAUAAAUAAGAAACAGUGGGAGUUCUCUUGAAUGUACCUACCUUUCAAUAAAAGAAAAAAAUCUGUGCUCACUCAAACCCUGUCAUGUCACAGGGUCUGGGGGACUGCUUACCUGUUCUUAUCUGUCAGGCCUGCCCUGAGCCUUGAAGGACAGGCAGCCCAUGGGGAAGCCAUGUCUAGAUUGCUGCUCUUUCAUCUGAAGGCAGAUCCUUCUACACAGAAACAUAUUUCCCUUGACUAAGAGUCACUGCUCUAGAAGUCGCAUGAGAUUUAAUGACCCAUCAUAAGUCCGGCAGAGUUCAAUGGGAAUGACACAUUCCCAGAGAAGUCUUUCAAUGUGGUGGCCUCCUCAAUGGCAGCAAAAUUUCUCAUGGUGGC